rnacentral:sRNA from 2 species
UAUGUGAUUAUUUUACCUAAGACAGUAGGAGUUAUACAUUAACUUAAAAUUACAUCCUGCCGAGGCUAAAAUUGACUUGAACGUGAAGAAACUUUCAAGCACUUUUUGCCGUGGGUAGAAAGUGCUUUUUUUAUUG